UACGUAGGGUGCAAGCGUUGUCCGGAAUUAUUGGGCGUAAAGAGCUCGUAGGCGGCUUGUCGCGUCGGCUGUGAAAACCUGGGGCUCAACCCCGGGCCUGCAGCCGAUACGGGCAAGCGUAGAAUUCGGUAGGGGAGACUGGAAUUCCUGGUGUAGCGGUGAAAUGCGCAGAUAUCAGGAGGAACACCGGUGGCGAAGGCGGCGCUCUGGGCCGGAACUGACGCUGAGGCGCGAAAGCUAGGGGAGCAAACAGG
rnacentral:rRNA from 1 species